rnacentral:rRNA from 1 species
AGCUCGUAGGUGGUUUGUCGCGUUGUUCGUGAAAUCUCACGGCUUAACUGUGAGCGUGCGGGCGAUACGGGCAGACUUGAGUACUGCAGGGGAGACUGGAAUUCCUGGUGUAGCGGUGGAAUGCGCAGAUAUCAGGAGGAACACCGGUGGCGAAGGCGGGUCUCUGGGCAGUAACUGACGCUGAGGAGCGAAAGCGUGGGGAGCGAACAGGAUUAGAUACCCUGGUAGUCCACGCCGUAAACGGUGGGUACUAGGUGUGGGUUUCCUUCCUUGGGAUCCGUGCCGUAGCUAACGCAUUAAGUACCCCGCCUGGGGAGUACGGCCGCAAGGCUAAAACUCAAAGAAAUUGACGGGGGCCCGCACGAGCGGCGGAGCAUGUGGAUUAAUUCGAUGCAACGCGAAGAACCUUACCUGGGUUUGACAUGCACAGGACGCCGGCAGAGAUGUCGGUUCCCUUGUGGCCUGUGUGCAGGUGGUGCAUGGCUGUCGUCAGCUCGUGUCGUGAGAUGUUGGGUUAAGUCCCGCAACGAGCGCAACCCUUGUCUCAUGUUGCCAGCGGGUAAUGCCGGGGACUCGUGAGAGACUGCCGGGGUCAACUCGGAGGAAGGUGGGGAUGACGUCAAGUCAUCAUGCCCCUUAUGUCCAGGGCUUCACACAUGCUACAAUGGCCGGUACAAAGGGCUGCGAUGCCGCGAGGUUAAGCGAAUCCUUUUAAAGCCGGUCUCAGUUCGGAUCGGGGUCUGCAACUCGACCCCGUGAAGUCGGAGUCGCUA